rnacentral:rRNA from 1 species
AGGGCGCAGGGUGGAUGCCUUGGCACUAAGAGCCGAUGAAAGACGUGAUAAGCUGCGAAAAGCUUCGGGGAGGAGCACAUAUCCAAUGAUCCGGAGAUAUCUGAAUGGGGAAACCCGGCAGAGGAAACCUCUGUCAGCGUGCAGUGAAUACAUAGCUGUACGUGGGGAACCCGGGGAACUGAAACAUCUAAGUACCCGGAGGAAGAGAAAGAAAAUUUAUCGAUUUCCAAAGUAGCGGCGAGCGAAAUGGAAAGAGCCCAAACCGUGAUGCGUGCAUCGCGGGGUUCGGACUGCGUUGUGGCAGACGUAAGAUAGGAGAACGGACUGGGAAGUCCGGCCGGAGAGAGUGAAAGCCUCGUAUCCGAAAUCCCAAGUCGCCUAGCAGGAUCCAGAGUAGGACGAGACACGAGAAACCUUGUCUGAACGAGCGGGGACCACCCCGUAAGGCUAAAUACUUCUUAGUGACCGAUAGCGCAUAGUACUGUGAAGGAAAGGUGAAAAGUACCCCGGGAGGGGAGUGAAAGAGAACCUGAAACCCUGUGUCUACAAGCUGUGGGACCUCUUUAUAUGAGGGACUGCGUACUUUUUGUAGAACGGUCCGGCGAGUUGUGCGUACUGGCGAGGUUAAGGACUUAAGGUCUGGAGCCGAAGUGAAAGCAAGCGUUAAUAGCGCGUCAAGUCAGUGAGUGCAGACCCGAAACCGGGUGACCUAUCCAUGUCCAGGUUGAAGUUGCCGUAAAAGGCAAUGGAGGACCGAACCCACAUCCGUUGAAAAGGGUGGGGAUGAGGUGUGGAUAGGGGAGAAAUUCCAAUCGAACCCGGAGAUAGCUGGUUCUCCUCGAAAUAGCUUUAGGGCUAGCCUCAUGAGAGUCUUAUGGAGGUAGAGCACUGAAUUGCCUAGGGGGCGUCAAAGCUUACCAAAGCAUAUCAAACUCCGAAUGCCAUCAAGAUGAUUCAUGGGAGUCAGACCAUACGAGAUAAGUUGGAUGGUCAAAAGGGAAAGAGCCCAGACCUACAGCUAAGGUCCCAAAGUACGUGUUAAGUGGAAAAGGAUGUGGGGAUUCUAAGACAACUAGGACGUUGGCUUAGAAGCAGCCAUUCAUUGAAAGAGUGCGUAAUAGCUCACUAGUCGAGAGUCCCUGCGCCGAAAAUGUCCGGGGCUGAAACACGACACCGAAGCUUAGGAAUGUGUAAACAUUGGUAGAGGAGCAUUGCUGGCGGGAUGAAGCCAUACCGUAAGGAGUGGUGGACUGCUAGGAAGAGAGAAUGCCGGAAUGAGUAGCGAGAUGAAGGUGAGAAUCCUUCAGGCCGAAUAUCUAAGGUUUCCAGAGUAAAGCUGAUCUGCUCUGGGUAAGUCGGGACCUAAGGCGAGGUCGAAAGACGUAGUCGAUGGAUAACAGGUUGAAAUUCCUGUACCGCAUAUAAACAGAACUGUGGGGACACAGACAGGGAAUGGAAUCCGGGAAUGGAUAUCCCGGUGCAAGCGAGGUAGGAGUGCUGUUGGCAAAUCCGCAGCACGAUCUGAAGACGUGACGCGUACCGAACAUAAGUAGGGAAGUCCAGGCCCCUGGCUGUCAAGAAAAGCCGCUAUUGUUUUAUAUGUGCCCGUACCGCAAACCGACACAGGUGGAUGAGGAGAGAAUCCUAAGGCCGACGGGAGAAGUAUUGUUAAGGAACUCGGCAAAAUGACUCCGUAACUUCGGGAGAAGGAGUGCCAUGUAAAAGUGGCCGCAGAGAAUUGGCCCAAGCAACUGUUUAGCAAAAACACAGGUCUAUGCAAAACCGAAAGGUGAAGUAUAUGGGCUGACGCCUGCCCGGUGCUGGAAGGUUAAGGGGAGAGGUUAGCGCAAGCGAAGCUUUGAACUUAAGCCCCAGUAAACGGCGGCCGUAACUAUAACGGUCCUAAGGUAGCGAAAUUCCUUGUCGGGUAAGUUCCGACCCGCACGAAAGGCGUAAUGAUUUGGGCACUGUCUCAACAAUGCACCCGGUGAAAUUGAAAUACCAGUGAAGAUGCUGGUUACCUGCGCCAGGACGGAAAGACCCCAUGGAGCUUUACUCCAGCUUGAUACUGGGAUUCGGUAUUGCAUGUACAGGAUAGGUGGGAGGCUAGGAAAUGGUAACGCCAGUUGCCAUGGAGCCAAUGUUGGGAUACCACCCUUGCAGUACUGGGUUUCUAACCAGCAGCCGUGAUCCGGCUGGGGGACAAUGUCAGGUGGGGAGUUUGACUGGGGCGGUCGCCUCCGAAAGGGUAUCGGAGGCGCUCAAAGGU